CCAAGGUGGAUACCCGGGAGGUCACUCUCCCCGGCUCUGUCCAGGUGGCGUAAGGGAGUAUAGGGCUCUGCCCGGUGAUGUCCAGUCCCUUUCCGCCACGCUAGGCCUUGUGUCUGCGCCUGCAUAUUCCUACAACUUAUCAGAGUCUUUUGGGCAGUGACUGCGGAGGUAAAGCAUGCAGGAAACAGUG
ensembl:snoRNA SNORA73 Small nucleolar RNA SNORA73 family